UUCCGUAGGUGAACCUGCGGAGGGAUCAUUACCGAGUUUACAACUCCCAAACCCCUGUGAACAUACCAAUUGUUGCCUCGGCGGAUCAGCCCGCUCCCGGUAAAACGGGACGGCCCGCCAGAGGACCCCUAAACUCUGUUUCUAUAUGUAACUUCUGAGUAAAACCAUAAAUAAAUCAAAACUUUCAACAACGGAUCUCUUGGUUCUGGCAUCGAUGAAGAACGCAGCAAAAUGCGAUAAGUAAUGUGAAUUGCAGAAUUCAGUGAAUCAUCGAAUCUUUGAACGCACAUUGCGCCCGCCAGUAUUCUGGCGGGCAUGCCUGUUCGAGCGUCAUUUCAACCCUCAAGCCCCCGGGUUUGGUGUUGGGGAUCGGCGAGCCCUUGCGGCAAGCCGGCCCCGAAAUCUAGUGGCGGUCUCGCUGCAGCUUCCAUUGCGUAGUAGUAAAACCCUCGCAACUGGUACGCGGCGCGGCCAAGCCGUUAAACCCCCAACUUCUGAAUGUUGACCUCCGGGUUCAAUUGUAAGGUUAACCGACGGGGGA
rnacentral:rRNA from 1 species